UACGAAGGGGGCUAGCGUUGCUCGGAAUCACUGGGCGUAAAGCGCACGUAGGCGGAUCGCUAAGUCAGGGGUGAAAUCCUGGAGCUCAACUCCAGAACUGCCUUUGAUACUGGCAAUCUCGAGUCCGGGAGAGGUGAGUGGAACUGCGAGUGUAGAGGUGAAAUUCGUAGAUAUUCGCAAGAACACCAGUGGCGAAGGCGGCUCACUGGCCCGGUACUGACGCUGAGGUGCGAAAGCGUGGGAGCAAACAGG
rnacentral:rRNA from 1 species